rnacentral:lncRNA from 1 species
AUAUGUCUGAUAUUUCCAGCACCAUCAAAAGAUCUUUCCACCAGAUAUUAUCUUCGCAAAUUUAUCAAAACUCAAUUGACUAUGUAUGACUAAAUCUCUAUAUAGAAUCUCUUCUGUCCCAUUGAUCUAUGUGUUUUUGUACAUCCAUAGGCAAAUUAUUUUCCUAAUUAUUAUAGCUUUUUUCAGUUUUUUUGAGAUUUGUCAGAAUAACAUUGUAUAAGCUUAAGGUGUACAAUAUGCUGAUUUGAUACUUAUACAGUGCAAAGUGAUUUCUAACCAUAACCUUAGUUAAUACGUCUAUCACAUCACAUAAUUGCCAUUUUUUUUGCUUUUUCAGGGCCAUACCCACAGCAGAUGGAGGUUCCCAUAAGUCAAGAAGUCAGGCAGAAAGUCCUCCAACUUUAUUCCUUUUUUUCAAGUUUUAUAAUAUAUUAAUAUAUGAGUAAAGAGGUACACUAAAGCAAUUAUCAAGAUAAUUCUGAUGAUCCUCAGUAUUCCAUUUCUGAUAAUAUCUGCUGUUCAUUGUCUUUAGUGGGCUUAUUUUUCCACUUUAUUUUCCAAAUACAGAUAUGGAAGUGAAGGUUACAUCCAAAAAAUGGUACAUGGAAGCUUCCUUCUUGAGGUACUCGAUUGUAUUUUUAAAUUUUUACUUUUAUUGAAUUGUAGUUGAUCUACAAUAUUGUGUUAAUUUCUACUGUACAUUAAAGUGAUUCAGGUAGUUCCUGUUGUGGCGCAGUGGAAAUGAAUCCAACUAGGAACUGUGAGGUUGCAGGUUCAAUCCCUGGCCUCACUCAGUGGGUGAAGGAUCUGGCGUUGCUGUGAGCUGUGGUGUAGGUUGCAGACAUGGCUCGGAUCCCGUGUUGCUGUGUCUGUGGCGUAGGCCAGCAGCUAUAGCUCCAAUUUGACCCCUAGCCUGGGAACCUCCAUAUGCCAUGGGUGAGGCCCUAAAAAGCAAAAAUAAACUGAUUCAGUUAUUUUAAAUAUUCUUGUCCAUUAUGGUUUAUCAUAGGACAUUGAAUAUAGUUCUGUGUGUUAAAUAGCAGGAACCUGUCGUUGUUUAUUCCCUCUGUGUAUAAUAGCUUACAUAUGCUAAACCCAACCUCUCAUUCCAUCCCUCCCCCUCGGCAACCACAAGUCUCUUCUCUUUGUCCAUGAAUGUGUUUCUGUUUUGUAGAUAGAUUCACUUAGAUUCCACACAUAAGUGAUAUCAUAUGGCAUUUGUCUUUCUCUUUCUGCCUGACUUCACUUGGUAUGAGAAUCUCUAGUUCCAUCCAUGUUGCUGAAAAUGGCAUUAUUUUGUUCUUUGUGGCUGAGGAGUAUCACAUUUGUAUAUAUGUACCUCAUUUUCUUAAUCCAUUCAUCUGUUGAUAGACAUUUCAGGUUGUUUCCAUGUCUUGGCUGCUGUGAAUAGUGCUGCUAUGAACAACAUAGGGGUGCAUGUAUCCUUUUGAAUUACAGUUUUGUCUGGAUAUCUGCUCAGGAGUGGGAUUACUGGGACAUAUGGUAGUUCUAUCUUUAGUUUGCUGAAGGACCUCUAUACAGUUUUCGAUAGUGGUUGUACCAACUUACAUUCACACACACGCUGUAGGAGGAGUCCCUUUUCUCUACAUCCCUACCAACAUGUGUUAUUUGUAGACUUUUUAAUGAUGGCCAUUAUGACCAGUGUGAGGCAUUUAUCUGCCAAGAAUAUUGUGACAUAAAUUCUUGGCUUAGAAGGGCUACCUGGAGGAAAUUCCUGAGAUUCCAUGCCACUAUAUGCUUAUAAUUUAUUAAUCUGAUGAGAUAAAAGUGACUACUACUGCAUACAUGGCCCCAUUCUCUUAACUCUUCUCAAUAUGGAAGCAAUGUUAACACUACGUCUAUAUAAGCAUAAAAGCAACCAACAACAAUUUGAAUAAUGCAUCCCAUCAAGUAACUAGAUCUUUUCAGGGCAUCAAAUGACCAGUUUGACUUUCACUGAAUUGACUGGUUGGUUGGCACUUUGAAGAGCAUUAACUUGUCAUCAUCUUCAUUACCAUGAAAGAGUAUUUAUUAAGCAUCCACAGUUGCAAGUGAUAUAAAGCUAGCCAAAUAAUUGUAGACUCUGCCCUUUAGGAAUUUAUGAUCUGGAAACUCCACACAUCCAGAUGAGCUGGAUGCCAUUUAGCAUAGUACUGCCCUAGGACUUUGAAAAUGCUACUAAGUGGCUGUAAAAGAUCAAUUUUAUUCACAAAGUGCCAAACUAUGGACUAGAAAGUAAAGUAGUGCACAUGUUGGGUGGGUGUAAGUGAUCUUCUCACCUGAGAUUGUGUCAUUUGGACUGAAUUUUAACUAGAGAUGUCCUCUCCCUUCAAAAGAUUGAAGCAGCACCUUAGAGAGAGGAAAUGACAUGUCUGAGCUUACCAAAAGCAAAUCAGUCCUUUGGGAAUCUGGGAGUGAGUAAUGAUGGUGGGGGAUGCAGCAGAGAAAUGGUAUUUUGGGCAUCAGAAUAAGGAUGCUCUACUCCAGCUCUGUCCCUCAUGGGUGGGCACUGGGUAAUUUAUUUAACUUUUCUGCAUCAUAGUUUAGUUAUUCACCUGUAAAAUGAGAAAGCUGUAAUCAUGUUUAUGCCUUCAUGAUAUUUUGAAAAUUGUGCAGGGAUCCUGCAAUGAAAAGAGAACCCCAAAUGAAUUUAUACAAGAACAGUCACAAUAAUGAACGUUCCUAACUAGGCUGAGAGGGCUAUACUUUUGAAGAAAAUUAAAUUAUUUGUAUGAAAUGCAGAUUUAAUUUUGGGGGAACAUUGAUGGGUUGCAAUAGUUUUACCUCUUAA